rnacentral:tRNA from 1 species
GGGGGCAUAGCUCGGGGAUAGAGCGCCUGCUUAGCAUGCAUGAGGUCCUGGGUUCAACCCCCAGUACCUCCG